UUCAUAAAAUGUGUUCCAAUUACACGUUCAUAAUGACUAAUCAGUUAUUGUUCAAAAUUUGUGUAUCCCCUAUUCAAAUCUGAGUACUUUUGGGUUGCCAAUAAGCAGAUGUGAACUAAAACUAGAUUAGUCAACUCUGUAUAAAAAGUUUGCUGUUGUUGGAAUUUGGUUUGAAGGGAUGUCGAAGCGAAAAAAGAAAAAAAUAUUUUAAAUUUUUUGAUCGCGGAGGAUCAUUUGAACAACCGAAUCCGGUGACACAGAAACUAAUUUGACUGAGCAAGGAAUGUCAAUCGAAAUUUAAAAAAGAAACAAAGUCUGAAAAUGCGAGCCAGUGCCAAGAAAGCGCUCGUCAAGAAAAAGGAACGGUAUGGGACAGAUUCUGCAGAAAAAGCUGGUGAACGAGCUGGAACAAGAUAUGAUGGAUCUGAUUGGAAAAUUUUCGUAGGCUAUCCGGACAUCGCCAUCCGACGGAACUUUCGCUGGAUGUGCAUCGAACAGUUCUGCCAAAAUAACACGAUCGAUAAAUAUCUGGGCUCCUCGGAACUCUUACUUAAGGUUAACCCGGAACGGGACUGCGGCGGGGAGCGACGGCGGUGGAUUCUGGAAAAGGGAGCCAAAUUGGAAUCGAGAAAUUGAUCUCUGCACUGCAUUCCCAUACGUACAAAAAUGUACAUUAUUCCUUUUGGCAUCGGAAUCGACGAAUUGUGUUACAGUUGGUGUUAUUCAACUUCGGACCCGUCAACGGGAGAGAAACACCUGCUAUGGCUAAAAUGAACCGGUGCUGAACAGAGUUAACGAACCUGAAACGGUCGCCUGUUCUCGAUAAGACCGAAAUUCUGCAUCAGAUGUUGGCCGCUUGUGAUCCGAACGGCACCCCGUCAAAGAAGAUUGAGAGUUUCUGACGGAAGAAAAAAACUUACAAGCAUCUACUGAAGCGAAGCUAUGGAUGCGUUUAAAUCGUUUGUUUCAUUACCUUCAAUGAUGUAAAUAAAGACUUAAUUAUU